GACGAACGCUGGCGGCAGGCCUAACACAUGCAAGUCGAGCGGAGCGGCGGACGGGUGAGUAAUGCCUAGGAAUCUGCAUGGGAGUGGGGGAUAGCGUUCGGAAACGGGCGCUAAUACCGCAUACUUUCAGUUGAGCCUAGGUCGGAUUAGCUAGUUGGUGGGGUAAAGGCCUACCAAGGCGACGAUCCGUAGCUGGUCUGGGAGGAGGAUCAGUCACACUGGAACUGAGACACGGUCCAGACUCCUACGGGAGGCAGCAGUGGGGAAUAUUGGACAAUGGGCGAAAGCCUGAUCCAGCCAUGCCGCGUGUGUGAAGAAGGUCUUCGGAUUGUAAAGCACUUUAAGUUGGGAGGCGUUACCAACAGAAUAAGCACCGGCUAACUUCGUGCCAGCAGCCGCGGUAAUAC
rnacentral:rRNA from 1 species